GAUGAACGCUGGCGGCGUGCCUAACACAUGCAAGUCGAACGGAACUAUUUUGGAAACUCCUUCGGGAGCGGAAUCUUUAGUUUAGUGGCGGACGGGUGAGUAACGCGUGAGCAAUCUGCCUUUAAGAGGGGGCUAACAGUCGGAAACGGCUGCUAAUACCGCAUAAAGCAUUAAAUUCGCAUGUUUUCGAUGCCAAAGGUGCAAGCCGCUUUGAGAGUAGCUCGCGUCUGAUUAGCUAGUUGGCGGGGUAACGGCCCACCAAGGCGACGCUCAGUAGCCGGAAUAGGAGGUGAAACGGCCACAUUGGUGCGCGGCCACGGCCCAGACUGCUAGCGGAGGCAGCAGUGGGGAAGAGUGCGCAAUGGUGGAAACCCUGACGAAGCAACGCCGCGUGAUUGAAGAAGGCCUUCGGGUUGUAAAGAUCUUUAAUUCGGGACGAAUUUUGACGGUACCUAAAGAAUAAGCUCCGGCUAACUACGUGCCAGCCGCCGCGGUAA
rnacentral:rRNA from 1 species